AGCGGAGGAAAAGAAAAUAACAAUGAUUCCCUCAGUAACGGCGAGCGAAGAGGGAUAAGCUCAAAUUUUAAAUCUGUUGGGUUCCACUUAACAGAGUUGUAUUUUGAAGAAACGUUUUCUGCGUCCAGGAUUAGCCUAAAUCCUUUGGGAUAAGGUAUCAUGGAGGGUGAGAAUCCCGUUCAUGGUUAAUCUUAAGGAAGCUCUACGAUACGUUUUCCAAGAGUCGAGUUGUUUGGGAUUGCAGCUCAAAAUGGGAGGUAAAUUUCUCCUAAGGCUAAAUAUUGGCGAGAGACCGAUAGCGAACAAGUACCGUGAGGGAAAGAUGAAAAGAACUUUGAAAAGAGAGUUAAACAGUACGUGAAAUUGUUGAAAGGGAAACGAUUGAAGUCAGUCAUACCAACGGGAAAUCAACCUUUUGAGCUYGGUCUCGUGGGUUUUGAAGAGUUUCAAAGCCUUCGGAUUCGCGGGAUUGGGAUCUCUUGGUGUACUUUUUCGUACGGUUAGUCAACAUCGGUUUUGAAUGUCAUAAAAUGACUGGAGGAAUGUAGCUUCGAUCUCGUAUUGAAGUGUUAUAGCCUUUGGUAGAUGUGAUGUUUGAGACCGAGGAUUGCAACGGAUACCCUUCAGGGCUAUUCGUCUGAUCUCUGAUACGUUGCCUUGAUGUUGAAAGCUUGCUUAUGAUGUUAGGGUAUUACGGUCAAAAGGUUAGAACGAAUUACAUUCGUUAAGGAUGUUGACGUAAUGACUUUAAACGACCCGUCUUG
rnacentral:rRNA from 1 species